rnacentral:sRNA from 1 species
GCUGGUUCGAAUCCGGCAGGUCGGAAUCUAAUUUUAAUUUUUCCUUUUU